GGGUGUGCAUGUGUGUGUGCAGUACACGUGUGUGUGUGUCUGUGUACAUGCUUGGGAGUUGUCCGUGGAAUUUUAGGAGGCUGUGUUAAGUCUGAAGAUUAAAGGAAUCCAGACACAGGACAGUGUUUAUCUAUUCUACAUCAAUACAAUUCUUUGAGAGGGGAGUGCCUUGUUUCUAGGAACCCAAAAAAACUACAUUUCAGCAGCGUUCAGGAAUCUUUAUGCCUGGUUCCACAGUAAUUAUUGCAUGGUACCCAUUCUGCUGGUGGUGCAUUCAUCUCCUGGUCACCCAGAAGCAGAUGUCACCAGGAAGACGGAGCGACUGUCACGACUUCCGCCGAGGUCGGUCCCUCUCCUUGUUCGGGCGGCGUUCGGCGGUCGACGUCACCGGUCUUCUAGCCAUCGCUGAUCCAUCUUUCAUUUUCAAUUGGUUUUGUCUUUUUUUUCUACACACCUAGUUUUCAUUAUCCAAUUACAUGUUAAUGUAUUUAACCCUCUGUGUCCCCCAUGUUUGUUGUGCAUGAUUAUUUCUACGUUCAGUUCGGUUCAUGAUGGUUGGUUUUUUGACGGGUGCUGUGUUCACCCGUGCGUAAUAUUUACCGUUAUUUGGUCGUGUAUGUUGUUUACCGUGUGCCUUUAUUUUUUGAGUAAAGUACAUUGCUCACUCAUUUUGCUCUCCUGUGCCUGACUUCAUGCACCAGCUACACUCACCUUCUGACAGCGACAGACUGCCGUGGCCAGGUUGAAGGUGUCU